rnacentral:rRNA from 1 species
AUGAACGCUGGCGGCGUGCCUAAUACAUGCAAGUCGAGCGAACAGACGAGGAGCUUGCUCCUCUGACGUUAGCGGCGGACGGGUGAGUAACACGUGGAUAACCUACCUAUAAGACUGGGAUAACUUCGGGAAACCGGAGCUAAUACCGGAUAAUAUAUUGAACCGCAUGGUUCAAUAGUGAAAGACGGUUUUGCUGUCACUUAUAGAUGGAUCCGCGCCGCAUUAACUAGUUGGUAAGGUAACGGCUUACCAAGGCAACGAUGCGUAGCCGACCUGAGAGGGUGAUCGGCCACACUGGAACUGAGACACGGUCCAGACUCCUACGGGAGGCAGCAGUAGGGAAUCUUCCGCAAUGGGCGAAAGCCUGACGGAGCAACGCCGCGUGAGUGAUGAAGGACUUCGGAUCGUAAAACUCUGUUAUUAGGGAAGAACAAAUGUGUAAGUAACUAUGCACGUCUUGACGGUACCUAAUCAGAAAGCCACGGCUAACUACGUG